rnacentral:rRNA from 1 species
AUUGAACGCUGGCGGCAGGCCUAACACAUGCAAGUCGAGCGAGCGGCGGACGGGUGAGUAAUGUCUGGGAAUCUGCCCGAUAGAGGGGGAUAACUACUGGAAACGGUAGCUAAUACCGCAUACCAUCGGAUGAACCCAGAUGGGAUUAGCUUGUAGGGGGGGUAACGGCUCACCUAGGCGACGAUCUCUAGCUGGUCUGAGAGGAUGAUCAGCCACACUGGGACUGAGACACGGCCCAGACUCCUACGGGAGGCAGCAGUGGGGAAUAUUGCACAAUGGGCGCAAGCCUGAUGCAGCCAUGCCGCGUGUAUGAAGAAGGCCUUAGGGUUGUAAAGUACUUUCAGCGGGGAGGCGUUACCCGCAGAAGAAGCACCGGCUAACUCCGUGCCAGCAGCCGCGGUAAUAC